AUUGAACGCUGGCGGCAGGCCUAACACAUGCAAGUCGAGCGGAUGAAGGGAGCUUGCUCCUGGAUUCAGCGGCGGACGGGUGAGUAAUGCCUAGGAAUCUGCCUGGUAGUGGGGGAUAACGUCCGGAAACGGGCGCUAAUACCGCAUACGUCCUGAGGGAGCAAGUGGGGGAUCUUCGGACCUCACGCUAUCAGAUGAGCCUAGGUCGGAUUAGCUAGGUGGUGGGGUAAAGGCCUACCAAGGCGACGAUCCGUAACUGGUCUGAGAGGAUGAUCAGUCACACUGGAACGGAGACACGGUCCAGACGCCUACGGGAGGCAGCAGUGGGGAAUAUUGGACAAUGGGCGAAAGCCUGAUCCAGCCAUGCCGCGUGUGUGAAGAAGGUCUUCGGAUUGUAAAGCACUUUAAGUUGGGAGGAAGGGCAGUAAGUUAAUACCUUGCUGUUUUGACGUUACCAACAGAAUAAGCACCGGCUAACUUCGUG
rnacentral:rRNA from 1 species